GUAAAUUGAAUAGAGGUAGAGAGGAGGCCAGAAAGGCAAGGAAUGAGAAAGUGCAGGGACUUAGUUGAUGAGGCAAUGAGGGAAGAAAAAAAUAAGAACAAGGUUAGUGACUAGACUAAUGAACUGGGAAUGAAAUUAAAAAGUAGAAAUACAGGUUAGUUUACAUUUUAGAAAUCCGUGGUGAACCUGCCCAGAAGCAGAAUCGUCCUGGCAAGACUAGUUAUCUGUCAGCUCUGAGGGAUCAAACACUGAGAUAAUGAGCUGAGCUGAGCUAAGACUGCAGCUACUAAUCAUAUUUUUGUUGGCCAGAAAUAAUGUUGGAAAGAUUUCACUUGUCUCUUCUGGUGCUUUAAUGAUGGCAGAAUAGGUGCUGUAGCAUAAUGACUUUCCAGAAAGAGUUCUCUCCACCGGGUAUAAAAAUUAGAAUAAAAAGAUUUAUGAAUUAAUGAGAGCUUUGAGCAUCAUGGUUCUUUCCACAGGUCGCACCUGGCUCCCAGUACCAUUUUUUACAUUUGUGAUCUGUUUCUUUUCUGCUGGUGCUCUCUCCUCCUCCUCUUUUUUUAGUAACUUAUCAUUCCCAGUGAGAGGAGCAGCUUUUGAUACAGCUGUCAAGUUGCCUUUCCCCAUCAAGCAUUGGACAGACUCAUGGCCGUUGUGAUCAAUCAAGUGACACCUUCACCAGAAUCCUCUCCUGGCAAUCAAAAAGCUUGUCUCACAUUCCACAACAAAACAAGGCAAAUUGUAUUAUACAAGUGCAUCAAGGCGACAGAACAGAGUGCAGGAUACAGUGCUACAACUUGUUAUGUAGUAGUUAAGUAUUAUUUAAGACUUCUGACCUCUGUGGAAGAACUAUAAUGGACAUUGAUCCUGCUGCACAUCCCGUUGACUUUGUGCUUAAAGUACAAAUGGGCUGGCAGGUAUGCCAGAAAUCUCAUCGGCUUGAGAUCCCAAGAGCAAAGGAUUGAGCCAGUCACAGCCUAGGAUGAAGAAGCUUGUUGGUCAACAAACACCCUUUGGGAUUUUGCUGGAACUGGUAUCAUUAUAGCUUGGAAGUGGGUUAAGUGUCUUCUUCCUAAUCAUGAUGCAAUGUCUCUCCAGUAAGUGGAAAUUGUCUCUGAUUUUGGGAUCUUCAAGUUCAGGCUGUUUUCCAGCUUCACAGACCAGUGAGAAUUAACGAGGGCUGAUAUCGAAGGACGCACCAAAGCACACAUGGUCCAUGACAGGAAUGAAAAAGGCCGUUGCUCACUGUUAAUGUUGGUGUAAACUUGCUGGAAGCUAUGUACAAGGGAUCUCUGGGGUAUAAGGUAGAUGGAGGCACAUGACUCAAACACAGAAACAUGAAACAAACAACCUGGUUCAGAAAAACAAUUCACAGCUUCUAUUUCAGCAAGACCCAGCAGCUCAGGUUACCAAUGGCACAUUUUAAUCCCCAAGGAGAUUGUUAUAUGUUUCACAAAAUGGGGAGAACUUAUCAGCUUUUGUACUCCACAUUUUUACUCUUCCUGUACCCUAAGUAGUGUGAACUUCCUUGUGUUUUCAAGACUCUGAAAGAGUCUCUGAGUUUAGAACACCAUCCAAGCUGACAUCAUCAGGAGGCUUGGCAUGCACUAAAAUGAGAAGCUAAUACAGUAAUAAUUGGGAAUUAGAGCAUUAGGUCCUGCUGUAAGAAUAAGUUCUAUAGCAACUUUCAACUGAAUAAUGCACUCAUGAAAAUACCUUCAUCUCAAUGUCUAACUUCCUUUCUAAACUAUGCAAUUUAUGUUUUCCAAUCAGAAGGUUAUAAAACAAUGUAGUAUGAGACUUAACGGUGCAAUUAUUUCAGCUCUGUUAAAAUCUCCCUCAGGCUGAUUUGAAAACAUCGCCUCUUCUGAGGUUCUUCUUAAAGCUAAGGCCCUUGAGCACAGAUUUGGCCAUAUGUCCCCAUGUCCCUGAAUUGUUCAUGUUCCUGCCCAGUGCACUGGGUGCCGCGCUGUGCAAUCGAGUUGUUGGUUAUUUUUCUUCUUUAUGACUGUUGCUGGGACACUGACAUCAUAUGCUGCAACAACCUUCGCUUAUCAAUUAAGAAUAAUUAUAAUGGA